GCCUGUACUGAGCGAGGAUGAUCUGCACGCAGUAGGCGCGUAAUAAAUACGAAUUGGUUGACAGGAUUGGUCGGUUUGGUGGAUUUAUAAUAGCUUCUUCCUGGGAACCGCCGGGCUAGGUUUGGAAUCGACACCCCGCCUCCAAUUAAUCCCUUUAUCUUCGGUAAAUCAUUUCUCAGAUUGGAGCUUCAUUUUCCUUUUUGCAAAAUAAGACUGAGCCUUACCUCCAGGGUUGCAAGGAUUUUUAAAUAUUUUGUUCACUGCUUUGUACCCCAGUGCCUAGUAAAUGCCCAAUGUUUGUUAACUGAAUCUACAGGUACUUAUUAAAUUCCUGUAAUGUGCUAGGCUCUCUUUUUAAGUCGCUAAAGAGCAGCGAACAACAGUUUCUAUCUUAAUUGAGGUUCUGUGCCAGGUGAGACAAAUCAAGUAGGUCACCUUGGGCAAGUUAAUCAACUUUCUUGUGUCUCCAUUCCUCGUCUGUAAGAUAACAAUAAUUGUAGGAUUCACUGAGCUUGUACUAUUAAAGCACUUAGAACAGGACAGGGCCUUGCAUACAGAAAAAUAGGUAUUAUUAAAGACACGAUACAGCUUUUUACAAGAAGUGUAGUGGAGAAAAAGAAUGAGCUAAAGAGUUCCUGGGGGUUGGGGACAGGCCAUUGUGAUAGUGUGAUCACUUAAAGACUCUUUUAUAUGUAAAAUUUCAAAGUUAUGUAUAAAUUGCAAGAAUAGUAAAGAAUUCUCAUGUUUUUCAACCAGAAUAACAAAUUGUUAUAUUUUGCUGCAUUCUCACUAUCACGUUUCUCUUGUGUAUAUAUGAGUGUAAAACAUGAAUUUUGGUUUUUUCCCUAAAUCAUUUUACAGUAAGUUUCAGACAUCAUGUCCCUUUAUCACCAUAUGCUCUGUGUGUAUUUCCUGAGAACAAGGAUGUUCUCGUGCAUAAUCUCAGUACAGUUAUCAAAAUCAGCUAUUUUAAUAAUAUGAUUCUUUUACUUAAUACACCUUCCAUAUUUAAAUUUUGCUAAUUGUCCCAAUAAUGUCCUCUACGGUAUUCCCAAGGAUCCAGUUGAGGAUCACUUGCUGCAUUUAGUUGUCAUGUCUCUUUACCUUCCUUUACUCUGGAAGGACGAUUACUUAGCCCUUCAUCUUUCAUGCCUUUGGCUUUUUUAAGAGUGUUGGAGAGUUAUUUUGUAGAUGUCCCUAAAUUUGGAUUUGUCUGAAGUCUUCUCAUGAUUAGAUUCAGGUUAUGCAUUUUGUCAGGAAUACCACAGAAAGUUGGCUUCUCAAUGAAUCACAAUGGGAGGCACAUGAUGUUGAUUUGUUCCAAUGCUGGUGAUGUUAACUUUGAUCAUUUGAUUAAGGUGGUGUCCGCCACGAUACUCCACAGAAAAGUUAACUCUUUUUCCCUUUGUAGCUAUUAAGCAUCUUAUGGGAAGAUAUUUUGAGACUAACCUGUUCUUCAUCAGACUUUCAGCAUUCAUUGAUGAUUCUUACACGGAUCAAUUAUUGUUGUUGCAAAAUGGUGAUUGAAAGGCCUCUGUAUUGGUCUGUUAGGUCUGCCCAUAAUAAAAUUCCACAGACUCGUGGCUGAACAGAAAUUUGUUUUCUCACAGUUCUGGGGGCUAGCAGUUCAAGAUCAAAGUGUUGGUAGGUUUGGUUCCUCCUGAGACCUCUACUUGAUUUACAGAUGGCCUGCCUUCUGACUGUGUCGUCACAAAACCUUUCCUGGGAUAUCUUUUCCUCAAGGACACAAAUUAGAUCGGAUUAGGAGCCCAAUGGACUCUUUAACUUUAUCUCCAAAUAUGUUACAUGCUAAGGUACUGGGGGCUUGUGAAUUCAGCAGGCAAAUUUGGGUAGCGUUGAAGUUGGGCGUGAGACAAUUCAAUCUAUGACAGUCUCCGUGAGAUAUGACAUCGAGCUGAGACCUGAAGCCAGCCAUGCUACAACUAGUGGAAAGGCAUUUAAGGAAGAGGGAACAAGUACAGAAGCCAGGAACAAAAUUGAUGUUAAACUUCAGCCAAUUGGGUUAAAAUGAAAAGUGGGCGUGGGCUUUAGCCACCACUGAGCCAGCCUGUCAGCUUGGUGGCGCUGUUCGGCUUCUGGCCAUGACGUUCACCUGUUGUCCUGCAUCACCUAAAAGCAUCUGGAGGGUUACAAGCAGCCAGUGCCCGAAUCACACCCUGGAAACACUGCACUAGAGACACUGAUUCCAGCAGGACGCAACAGAGAGGUCCUCUUGUCUACUAAACAAGGGUCCGAGUUGCAGAACCAAUGAUGGAAGCAAAUACAGCCACCCUGCUUCACAUUUCAAAGGUGCUUCCCCUGAAAGGGCUCAGCAAUCCCAACACUUCUCCUCUCUCAUCUGGAAAUUGCAUAAAAAUUCUUUGUCAGGCUAUAUUUGCAGCAGAAAAUUGGUUGCUAAGUUCCUAGCCGCUGUUUAUGGCUUUUGGAAAGAUAAAGGAAUACAUUACAGAGCUAGCGGGGCAAAGUCUUUAAUUCUGUGAUAUUAGGAUAUUCAGAAUAAAUGAUCAUGGAAUCUGGUUGAAAAGUACACAACCAUAAGGCAACAAAGUACUCUCAUUGAUCAAAGUGUAAAGCAAUAACAGCCUUUUAGGAAGGCAAUUUGAUCAUUCAUUGUUUAUUAAUAUAUUUUAAAAUUAAUGGACUUUGGCCCAGCAAUUUUAUUCCUAGGGUUUAUCCUAUAGAAUACUUACCCAAGUGUGGAACAAUAUAUGUGCAGCAAGGAUUUUGGUGGUCAUUUGUAAUAGUGAAAUAUUAGGAAUACUCAAGUACCAGAGGCAGGGGACUAGUUAUGUACCACCACACAUUUGAAUAUAAUGUAGGAAAGCAGGCAUUAGCUCUGUAUGUACUUCCAAAGAACAAAUAUUCGCUAUAUAUUUGUACAUAAAAAAGCAAAUGUAAACUAGGAUCUAUAGCAGCCGUGGGCAAACUACGGCCCGUUUGAAAUGAAUAAAACUAAAAAAAAAAAAAAAAAAA